rnacentral:lncRNA from 1 species
GGGACCGAUAAUUUUGAUUUUUUUGGUGGUGAUGGGGUCUUAUCAUCAUUUUUGGGUGCUGGUGGUGUGGAAGAUUGCGGUGUUGAUGAUGGUGGUGAAGCUUGGGGAUUAGGUGAUGGUGGUGGAGUGGGUUUUGAUGAUGGCAGGGAUGGUGGUUGAGGCAUGAUCGAUGAUGGUGGUGGCGGGGAUUGUGGAUGCAAGAUCGGAGAGGUUGGUGGACUGGGAAGAGAUGUGGGAUAGGACGAUUCUUGAGUCUGCGACACUUCUCGUGGUGAUGGUUGUGGUAGCUG